UAAGGUUCGCCCCGCCGCUGCAAAUUCAGCGGCACAGGAUUGGCGUCCUGGGUC
rnacentral:ncRNA from 1 species